rnacentral:rRNA from 1 species
UACGAAGGGGCUAGCGUUGCUCGGAAUCACUGGGCGUAAAGCGCACGUAGGCGGCUUUUUAAGUCAGGGUGAAAUCCUGGAGCUCAACUCCAGAACUGCCUUUGAUACUGAGAGCUUGAGUCCGGGAGAGGUGAGUGGAACUGCGAGUGUAGAGGUGAAAUUCGUAGAUAUUCGCAAGAACACCAGUGGCGAAGGCGGCUCACUGGCCCGGUACUGACGCUGAGGCACGAAAGCGUGGGGAGCAAACAGGG